rnacentral:lncRNA from 1 species
AAAAAUAUUCCGAAAAUGCAUUUCCCGCAUUAUAUAUAUUUAUAGCAAACAAACCUUUACUGGUUAAGUGGAGUCGCAUUUGUUGUUUUCUUCUUCGCACCACCCAUUCGCUUCCACUCGGCUUCCUGUUCCGCCAUCUCUGCCACCUAGGGUUCCGCCGCCGACCAAUGUUGCCCUACAAGACUCUCCAGGAGGCCGAGGCGUUUCUGGGGCGGAACCUCACGUUUCCGGAAACCGUAUGGCUCAAUUACUCUGCCAACAAGUCUGAUUACUUCCUUUACUGCCACAACAUUCUUUUCCUCUUCCUUAUCUUCUCUGUCGUCCCUCUUCCGUUGGUCUUCAUGGAGCUCUCGCGAUCUUCCGGCUU